rnacentral:rRNA from 1 species
AUUGAACGCUGGCGGCAUGCCUUACACAUGCAAGUCGAACAGUAACAGGUCUUCGGAUGCUGACGAGUGGCGAACGGGUGAGUAAUACAUCGGAACGUGCCCGAUCGUGGGGGAUAACGAAGCGAAAGCUUUGCUAAUACCGCAUAAGAUCCACGGAUGAAAGCCGGGGACCGCAAGGCCUUGCGCGAACGGAGCGGGCGAUGGCAGAUUAGGUAGUUGGUGGGAAAAAAGCUUACCAAGCCGACGAUCUGUAGCUGGUCUGAGAGGAACGACCAGCCACACUGGGACUGAGACACGGCCCAGACUCCUACGGGAGGCAGCAGUGGGGAAUUUUGGACAAUGGGCGAAAGCCUGAUCCAGCCAUGCCGCGUGCAGGAUGAAGGCCUUCGGGUUGUAAACUGCUUUUGUACGGAACGAAAAGACUCUUUCUAAUAAAGAGGGUCCAUGACGGUACCGUAAGAAUAAGCACCGGCUAACUACGUGCCAGCAGCCGCGGUAAUAC